AGCGAACGCUGGCGGCAGGCCUAACACAUGCAAGUCGAGCGCCCAGCAAUGGGAGCGGCAGACGGGUGAGUAACACGUGGGGAUCUACCCAAUGGUACGGAAUAACCCAGGGAAACUUGGAUUAAUACCGUAUGUGCCCUUCGGGGGAAAGAUUUAUCGCCAUUGGAUGAACCCGCGUCGGAUUAGCUAGUUGGUGAGGUAAAGGCUCACCAAGGCGACGAUCCGUAGCUGGUCUGAGAGGAUGAUCAGCCACACUGGGACUGAGACACGGCCCAGACUCCUACGGGAGGCAGCAGUGGGGAAUAUUGGACAAUGGGCGCAAGCCUGAUCCAGCCAUGCCGCGUGAGUGAUGAAGGCCUUAGGGUUGUAAAGCUCUUUCGCCGGUGAAGAUAAUGACGGUAACCGGAGAAGAAGCCCCGGCUAACUUCGUGCCAGCCGCCGCAGUAACAC
rnacentral:rRNA from 1 species